GAUGAACGCUAGCGGCAGGCUUAACACAUGCAAGUCGAGGGGUAUAGUUCUUCGGAACUAGAGACCGGCGCACGGGUGCGUAACGCGUAUGCAAUCUACCUUUUGCAGAGGGAUAGCCCAGAGAAAUUUGGAUUAAUACCUCAUAGUAUGUGAGAAUGGCAUCAUUUUCACAUUAAAGUCACAACGGCAAAAGAUGAGCAUGCGUCCCAUUAGCUUGUUGGUAAGGUAACGGCUUACCAAGGCAACGAUGGGUAGGGGUCCUGAGAGGGAGAUCCCCCACACUGGUACUGAGACACGGACCAGACUCCUACGGGAGGCAGCAGUGAGGAAUAUUGGACAAUGGGCGCAAGCCUGAUCCAGCCAUGCCGCGUGCAGGAUGACGGUCCUAUGGAUUGUAAACUGCUUUUGUACAGGAAGAAACAGUUCUACGUGUAGAGCCUUGACGGUACUGUAAGAAUAAGGAUCGGCUAACUCCGUGCCAGCAGCCGCGGUAA
rnacentral:rRNA from 1 species